rnacentral:misc_RNA from 1 species
UCCAUGCUAUCAGUAAUGUGAAUUGCAGAAUUCAGUGAAUCAUCGAAUCUUUGAACGCACAUUGCGCCCGCCAGUAUUCUGGCGGGCAUGCCUGUUCGAGCGUCAUUACAACCCUCAGGCCCCCGGGCCUGGCGUUGGGGAUCGGCGGAAGCCCCCUGCGGGCACAACGCCGUCCCCCAAAUACAGUGGCGGUCCCGCCGCAGCUUCCAUUGCGUAGUAGCUAACACCUCGCAACUGGAGAGCGGCGCGGCCACGCCGUAAAACACCCAACUUCUGAAUGUUGACCUCGAAUCAGGUAGGAAUACCCGCUGAACUUAAGC